AGAGUUUGAUCCUGGCUCAGGAUGAACGCUAGCGACAGGCUUAACACAUGCAAGUCGAGGGGCAGCAUGAUUUGUAGCAAUACAGAUUGAUGGCGACCGGCGCACGGGUGAGUAACGCGUAUGCAACUUACCUAUCAGAGGAGAAUAGCUCAUCGAAAGAUGAAUUAAUGCUCCAUAAAACAGGGGUCCCGCAUGGGAAUAUUUGUUAAAGAUUCAUCGCUGAUAGAUAGGCAUGCGUUCCAUUAGGCAGUUGGCGGGGUAACGGCCCACCAAACCGACGAUGGAUAGGGGUUCUGAGAGGAAGGUCCCCCACAUUGGUACUGAGACACGGACCAAACUCCUACGGGAGGCAGCAGUGAGGAAUAUUGGUCAAUGGACGCAAGUCUGAACCAGCCAUGCCGCGUGCAGGAAGACGGCUCUAUGAGUUGUAAACUGCUUUUGUACGAGGGUAAACUCACCUACGUGUAGGUGACUGAAAGUAUCGUACGAAUAAGGAUCGGCUAACUCCGUGCCAGCAGCCGCGGUAAUACGGAGGAUUCAAGCGUUAUCCGGAUUUAUUGGGUUUAAAGGGUGCGUAGGCGGUUUGAUAAGUUAGAGGUGAAAUCCCGGGGCUUAACUCCGGAACUGCCUCUAAUACUGUUAGACUAGAGAGUAGUUGCGGUAGGCGGAAUGUAUGGUGUAGCGGUGAAAUGCUUAGAGAUCAUACAGAACACCGAUUGCGAAGGCAGCUUACCAAACUAUAUCUGACGUUGAGGCACGAAAGCGUGGGGAGCAAACAGGAUUAGAUACCCUGGUAGUCCACGCAGUAAACGAUGAUAACUCGUUGUCGGCGAUACACAGUCGGUGACUAAGCGAAAGCGAUAAGUUAUCCA
rnacentral:rRNA from 1 species